rnacentral:rRNA from 1 species
ACCUACGGGACGCAGCAGUGGGGAAUAUUGCGCAAUGGACGAAAGUCUGACGCAGCGACGCCGCGUGAGGGAUGAAGGUUUUCGGAUCGUAAACCUCUGUCAGGAGGGAAGAAAGCGCAUGGCGCCAAUCAGCCAUGCGUUGACGGUACCUGACUAAGAAGCCCCGGCUAACUACGUGCCAGCAGCCGCGGUAAUACGUAGGGGGCAAGCGUUAUCCGGAUUUACUGGGUGUAAAGGGAGCGUAGACGGCCAGACAAGUCAGAAGUGAAAGCCCAGGGCUCAACCCUGGGACUGCUUUUGAAACG